AGCAAAGGCAAGGAAGAUUGCCUUCUUUUUGUUCGAUUCUGCAGUCCAUUCUACCAGAAAAAAGGUGUGAUUUGUUGAAAAACCACCGAUCUAGGUUGGAGGCAAGCUCAGGCGACCGGUGAUUAGAGGACCGGAUCAUUAGAGCAGCUCAUGAGCUCAGCAGAUGGCGGGAGGAUGAGCGUGUGCGUGUGGAAAUCCAUCCGCGAGUUCAAAGCCUCCAAGACGAAGUCACCGACUCACAGUAAAGAUUUUAGAAGAACACCAGGCCUUCACACUCCCAGAAAGAUAGUUUCAGCACCAGCAGAAAGGAGAUGAGCCUCCUCAAUGCAGUAGCUACACUCCUGGUGAUUCUUGUGGCCUUACGAGAGAUACAGCCGGCAAGUGCAUCUGUGAGAAGGCAAGGGUUGAUUCAUCACAGCCACCCAUCCACGGCCACGCUCGUCAGCUGCCCUAAAAGUUGCGGGCAACUGAACAUCCACUAUCCAUUCGGCAUCGGAGCAGGUUGCUUCCGGCAGCCCGAUUUCAACCUCACCUGCGACAACUCCACCCAGCCUCCGAAGCUUUUCUUGCAUGAUGGCACCACCGAGGUUGUAGGAGGAGGUAUAGAUUCCAGUGAUGACAUGGACGUCGGCUUGUCAGAGUGGAUCAAUGUCAACAUUUCAACCACCAUCCCUAUGGUACUUGGUGUUGCUGAGUACAAAUAUUCUUGGAACCUUAGUUCUUUUGGCAUUUUGGAUGCUUCUCUAAAUAUUACUGGUUGCGAGUUCGACACAUAUAUAAUUAACGAUAAGAGCUACAGUCCCACAACAGCAAUCUGCAGAAACAGCUGCCCCAAUGAAGGGAUCACUGAAACAGUAGCUCGACAAAGCUGUAAUGGUACUGGAUGCUGCAGAAUUUCUGUUGGAAUAGGUGUUUCUAACUUGCAGCUCCGUUUUGUCCGCCAUGGCGGCGAAGGUUUUCUUGGAGGGAACUCUAGUCUAAGCUCCUUAUGGAACAGAGUUAACAUAGUUAGCAGUUAUGCCAGUGUCAUGUGGGGAAUAAGUGAUCAACCAACGUGUGCGAGCACAAAGGAUAACCAAACAGAUUAUGCAUGUCUGAGCAUCAACAGUAAGUGCUGGGACAUGGAUCUGGAUCUUGGCUACCUUUGUGAAUGCAACAGUGGUUAUGUAGGCAAUCCUUACAUAUUUGAUGGCUGCACACGCGAUGAAGGAUAUCUUCCAGUUCAACAAAAGGCAAACUGCUCCAGAUGGUGUGGGAAUAUAAGUGUUCCAUUUCCUUUUGGGCUAGAGGAAGGUUGCUCAGCAAGAAAACUAUUUGAACUCAACUGCACAAAUGUGACAUCUUCCAUUCUUGAAUUCGACCGUGGCCAUGUUGUUACAUACAUAGAUUUUACACAAGGGGCUGUUGGCAUCAAACUUGCCUCAUAUUUUGAAGAGCAGGAGCUCAGUAUGUACAAAUCAGAAGAACCUAGUCUAUAUGCAAGUUUUGGAGAAGCAGUGAUAUCUGUGCACUGGGCUGCUGCCAAUCUCACAUGUCAAGAGGCCCAGAAGAACCUAUCUCGUUAUGCAUGUGUCAGUCCAAACAGCACAUGUUUAGGUGUCAACUCUACUUAUGGUUAUGUUGGAUAUAGGUGCAAAUGCGUAGAUGGUUUUACUGGGAAUCCAUAUAUCGAUAAUGGCUGUGAAGAUAUCGACGAGUGCCGAAAAACACCUGGCAUCUGCAAUGGCAUCUGCCACAAUGUUAUUGGGAGUUACCAUUGCAUGGAGUGCCCAUAUAAAACAGCGUAUGAUGCCACAGCUAUGCAGUGCGUCUCAAGUAAAAAACAAAAUCUUCUGAUAGGUGUUAUAAUUGGGCUUAGUGUUGGAUUCAGCGUUCUACUCUUUUUAUUGUGUGGGAUGCUUCUUCUUCGUAGAUGGCAAAGGAACAUUCAAAGACAACUACGAAGAAAUUACUUUCGAAAAAAUCAAGGUCUUCUGUUAGAACAACUAAUAUCAUCUGAUGAAAAUGCAAGCGACAAGACAAAAAUUUUCUCCUUAGAAGAGCUUGAGAAGGCAACAAAUAAUUUUGAUCCCUCACGUAUCCUUGGACGUGGAGGGCAUGGCAUGGUAUACAAAGGAAUCUUAUCUGAUCAACGCGUGGUAGCUAUAAAAAAGUCAAAGAUUAUUAAGCAAGAUGAAAUUGAUAAUUUUAUCAAUGAGGUUGCUAUUCUCUCUCAGAUAAAUCAUCGCAAUAUUGUAAGGCUCUUUGGAUGUUGUCUUGAAACUGAGGUUCCAUUACUUGUCUAUGAUUUUAUUCCAAAUGGUUCAUUAUUUGGAAUUCUCCAUGCUGAUGCAAGCAAUAGUUUCCAGUUGUCUUGGGAUGACUGCUUAAGAAUUGCUAUUGAGGCAGCAGGAGCACUCUGUUACCUCCAUUCAGCUGCUUCAGUAUCAGUUUUUCAUCGUGAUGUGAAAUCAGCUAACAUACUUUUAGAUGCAAACUACACGGCCAAAGUUUCAGAUUUUGGUGCUUCAAGAUUGGUUCCUAUUAAUGAAACCCAUGUUGUUACAAAUAUUCAAGGCACCUUUGGGUACUUAGAUCCAGAAUACUACCACACCGGGCAAUUAAACGAGAAGAGUGAUGUCUAUAGCUUUGGAGUUGUACUCGUUGAGCUCCUCCUUAGGAAGGAGCCUAUUUUAACAAGUGAGACAGGUCUGAAGCAGAACUUAUCCAACUAUUUUCUGUGGGAAAGAAAGGUGAAGCCAAUUACAGAGAUAGUGGCCGGUCAAGUUCUUGAGGAAGCAACCGAGGAAGAGAUUAACAAUGUUGCCUCUCUUGCGGAAUGUUGCUUGAGUCUACGACGCGACGAAAGACCUACUAUGAAGCAAGUUGAGUUGGCCCUGCAGUUUCUACUGAACAAAAGGUUGAAUUCAUGCAGUACUGUUCAAACAUACAAGCAAGAGAUGGAACAGUUCAUGAUGGCAAAAACACAACCUAUCGCUGAGAAACGAUAUGUUAAAUUUCUGGGCAAUAAGGCAACCUUAUCAUCCUAUCAGCGCGGCCUGGAGCAGGAGUUUAUGUCAUCUACUACUAUACCACGCUAGACGUAUUCUGUUUCAGUAUUUUGGUAAGCCAUGAUGCCUACUGUCUCUCUUGACAAUUUAGAGCAAUGAACCUUCAAUGCAGUGCAUUUAUUUAAUUUAAAGUACAUGAAUAGCUUGUAAAAUAAGGUAACCAUUUAUGUAAACAGUUAUAUAAUUUUAUAUACUUAUGACGGUGCAAUGGACAUGAAUUGCGUCAGUAUUACAUGUAGAAGAUGGCUGUUUGGAACUGAUGAAUCACAAAGCCAAAUAACUUGUGCUGUGCACAUGGUCCAUGUCCAACACUGCCAGCUGCAUAUAUCUGUGAUAAUUUCUGAUCCAUAAUUCUUCCUCCUGAUGUUUGUUCCAGGUUCACCUAACCGCCGGUUACCGCGCUUCCUGUCGGAGUAUGGUAAUGGUAGCUACGGGUUACCACUCUUAUCGCGGGUGUGCGGUAAGCUCGACCCGGUGGUAUGGCGAGAACCCUGGUCGGUGUUGAUUGACAAUAUCUGAAAUCGCCAUAUAAUCAUGUCAUUGGUGCUGAACAAGCAAGCGACUCUGAAGACACACUGCAGUACUUACUGCACUUGAGAUAAACAAGUUGGCCUUUGGUACCUAGUUUGUGAGGGAAAUUUUCUUUUCAUCGAAUACGCACGAGAGUUGUGUGUCCACCACAACACGACCUUACCAGCACAUCCCUAAUUACACCACACGCCUAAGCACGACCAAAACACAACCCGACGACCAUACAACCCAAAAGCAGGCUGCAGGCAUCACAAGAGGAUUCAUAAACAUCGUAAGAAUUAAUCAUCAGGUCCAAACCAUGGAUCCAAGCGGAUGACCAUGAAGGACCUGAGCUAGAAAAACCUGCGAGACAUACAUACAUACAUACAUACAUACAUAUAUAUAUCGUAUAUAUUGAUUUAAAGAUGAAUCUAAAGAAUAUCUUAUAACCUAAAAUGGAUAGAGUAUUGUGUACACGGAUGCCUUCCAACUAAGCCCUUCCUUUAUGUGGUAUCAGAGGCUCCCUUGUCAUGUCGUCUUUCUCAGUUGCUGCGUUGUAUUUACAGUCUAAAAGCCAAUAAUUCAUGUUCAGUGUCCCUUCAGUCUUUCAGAGUAAUGUUUAUCUAAGCUAGAUUUCAGUUACAAUUUAGAAUCCUUAGCCACCAUAUUCUCCAAGACACUCCAUGUCAGUGGGUAGGCAUUUGCCAUCUCUUUAGGCUCCAACUUAUGCAGAACAAGCAAAUGGGAGCAAACCUCUCCAAAAUGCUUGUAUUAUGUUGGCUUCAUCACUGCAACUUGCUCUGAAGCACAUAACUCCCUCAACAAAGUGCUCAAAAUCUCUGUUGUAUAACACAUGUACCCAAUCUCAAACAUAAUGGAACUCGGGGGGCUCAAGGCCUUUUUGGCAUGAUCUGUAUGACAUAUUGAACAAUUACCGCCACUUGUUACAAACAACUAAGAGAAAUAACAACA